rnacentral:rRNA from 1 species
UACGAAGGGGGCUAGCGUUGCUCGGAAUUACUGGGCGUAAAGCGCACGUAGGCGGCUUUCUAAGUCGGGGGUGAAAUCCUGGAGCUCAACUCCAGAACUGCCUUCGAUACUGGAGAGCUUGAGUCCGGGAGAGGUGAGUGGAACUGCGAGUGUAGAGGUGAAAUUCGUAGAUAUUCGCAAGAACACCAGUGGCGAAGGCGGCUCACUG